rnacentral:rRNA from 1 species
ACACCAUGGGAGUGGGUUGCAAAAGAAGUAGGUAGCUUAACCUUCGGGAGGGCGCUUACCACUUUGUGAUUCAUGACUGGGGUGAAGUCGUAACAAGGUAACCGUAGGGGAACCUGCGGUUGGAUCACCUCCUUACCUAAAGA